GGUGGCUCAGUGGUAGAGCACUUGCUUUGCAUGCAUGAGACCCUGGGUUCAAUUCCUGAGCACCA
rnacentral:tRNA from 1 species